rnacentral:sRNA from 1 species
CGCGACUACUUCCGCCCUCCUUAGCGCCGUGGUCCCGACGCUGCUUGUCGCGUCGCCGUGGGCGACGUGCCCGCUUCCAAAAUGGCGGCGGCAGCGGUGUCUGGUGCGCUUGGCCGGGCGGGCUGGAGGCUCCUGCAGCUGCGAUGCCUGCCCGUGGCCCGUUGCCGACAAGCCCUGGUGCCACGUGCCUUCCAUGCUUCAGCUGUGGGGCUAAGGUCUUCAGAUGAGCAGAAGCAGCAGCCUCCCAACUCAUUUUCUCAGCAGCAUUCUGAGACACGGGGGGCAGAAAAACCUGAUCCAGAGUCUUCUCAUUCACCCCCCAGGUAUACAGACCAGGGCGGCGAGGAGGAGGAGGACUAUGAAAGCGAGGAGCAGCUGCAGCACCGCAUCCUGACGGCAGCCCUAGAGUUUGUGCCCGCCCACGGGUGGACAGCAGAGGCGAUUGCAGAAGGAGCCCAGGUGUGUAUAGGCGAGGGUGGGGCCACCUGACUAAGAUGAGCCAGGAUGGAGUCACACCAGGCAGAGCGGAGGGCCUCAUACCUUCUUCCAGUCUAGCUCAGGGCCCCUCACAGCUGCAAGAUUGACUGGGUUUUUUCCCCCAAUAGGGUGGAACUGGCUUUAUUUUGUAGUUAUAAAGAACAUACCAUGGAGUUGGUUCUUGGGAGUUGUGUUCUAAAGGCAAUCUGUUAGGCAAGAAUUGUCUGUGAUCAAAACUACCAUGUUUCAUUGACUCUAAGACGCCAUUGGUUGUAAGAAGCACCAUUUUUAAAUGCAUCAGUAAAAAAGAAAACAUACUGCCCUUCGAACUAUGACAGAGCACUUCUAUGAUUCACACUGAUUUUUUAAAAUGAAAAAUAUAUCUGCAUCUUAGAAUUAAUGACAUAUGGUGUUUGAAAACCCCCAAGAAGGCACCACUUUGGAGACCAACACAUCUUAUUUUCCUAGAAACUCUAAUAGCAUUUCCUGCAUUAGUAUAGACGGCUGCUUUAGACUAGGCAGUAGGCUCAUGUUCAGGCCGUGCUGUAGAGAAUCCUCCAGCAUAGCAAGAUACCAUCCUCCAAGAGACUGAGGGGAUGACAGAGUUGCAUCUUCCAUCCCAGGCUUGCUGCAGGGCAUCUACCCAUGGACAAUGGGCAAGGUUGCUGCUUUACUGAAAUUUAACUGUUAUUUCCUUGUCUUCUCUAACUCCCAAAUGCACAUUUGGUAACAGAAGUCUCAUUAGUGAAAUGCAGGUGCUCUGACUCCACUGUAGGCUCAUUGUGAAAACUGAACAAUACAAACAAAUAUAAAAAAGAAUGUAGAAAACACCUAUAAUCACACCAAAGAUCAUACUAUCAACAUUUAUGCCUAGAUCUUUCAAAUUAAAACCCUUUAUAUGAUUCAUUCUUUAAAUGUUUAUUGAGCAUAUAAUGUGCCCUAGGCAGUGUGCUAGUCCAAGGGACAUGACAGGGGUCAAGGUGGUCAAGAUGGACCUGCUUCUUGCCCUUGUUGAGCUUCCAGUCUAGCAACAUUAAUAAAAUAUAUACAAAUGUUUACUUAGAAGAUGUGGUAAGUGCUAUCAAGGAAAGGUGCUGUUGGGCUGUAUAAUGGAGGGACCCGAUCAUUAGAUCAGGUCACAGCUGCAAGAUUGACUGUUUUUUUUCCCUCAAUAGGGUGGAAGUGGCUUUAUUUUGUAGAUAUAAAAGUAAUGAACCGUGGAAUUGGUUCUUGAGAGUUGUGUUCUAAAGGCAACCUAUUGGCAAGAAUUGUCUGUGAUCAAAACUACCAUAUUUCAUUGACUCUAAGAUGCCAUUGGUUGUAAGAAGCACCAUUUUUAAGUGUAUCAGU